rnacentral:rRNA from 1 species
AGAGCGGACGCUGGCGGCAGGCCUAACACAUGCAAGUCGAACGGACUCUUCGGAGUUAGUGGCGGACGGGUGAGUAACACGUGGGAACGUGCCUUUAGGUUCGGAAUAGCUCCUGGAAACGGGUGGUAAUGCCGAAUGUGCCCUUCGGGGGAAAGAUUUAUCGCCUUUAGAGCGGCCCGCGUCUGAUUAGCUAGUUGGUGAGGUAAAGGCUCACCAAGGCUACGAUCAGUAGCUGGUCUGAGAGGAUGACCAGCCACAUUGGGACUGAGACACGGCCCAAACUCCUACGGGAGCAGCAGUGGGAAUCUGCGCAA